GGCCCGGUCGUCUAGUGGUUAGGACGCCAGGUUUUCAUCCUGGUAACCGGGGUUCGAUUCCCCGUCGGGCUACAA
rnacentral:tRNA from 2 species